CCAUAUUUAAAUGAGAGAAUUUUAUUCUUCUAGAAACUUUAUCAGUUAUCAAUUACUACUGGAGACACAUUUGAUAUUGGACACACAUUAUGUAUGAGUAAAGACACAAAAACCUCUAAUCUUAACCAAACCAGAGUUUCUUUGUUCAACUACACACAAAAGAUACACGCACACACUAUCUCACACGUGUGUAUCUUCACAUUAGCUCAAUUCUAGAUCUCCGACUCAUCUUUCUUUUCUCUCAGACAAUUGUUCUUCCCUUUCAAUCAAAUCUACAACCACCUCAAACCUCUCUCCUAUAACUCCAAUCUAGUUUCCCAAAUCUUCGUAUCCUAAUCCCUUCCCUUCUUUUUUUUUGUUCAAAAAUUCCUUCCCUUCUAUUCCAUUUCAUUUUGUUAGCUUUGUUAGAAUUUUUUUUUUUUUAAAAAAAAUAAAAGAAGAAGACCAUCUCCAAUCUAUCUCCAGAUUCUUGUAUCCAUCUCUCUUUUUUAAUAGGUCUUAUCCACCAACCAUCUCAAUCUAUCACCAAAUUAGAGAAAUUUUCACGUCCUGUGAAACCCACAGCGGAGGAGACAUGAAAUUAGUGGCGGAGAAGACACGAAAUCCACGGCGGAGGAAACAAUGUCUUAGAGCUGAUCUUGCCUCAAGUUCGAAAUCGUCGAACAAAGUUGAUGGAAACCGAGAAAAGCUGGAUUCUUUAUCACGAUUUUUUUUGUCUCUGCAAUGAUUUGUUCGGAUCUUGCUAGAAGCCAACCCGAACCACACGUAAGGAUCCGCAUGCUCAGGUUAAACGUGUACAAAACCUAAUAUUCAUAAUUGUGUCCACAUGAUAUAUGUCCACAAAUCUGAUAUCCAUAUCCUGUUUGUGCAUAAUUUUUCAUCCAUAUCCACAUAUAUUAGUAAUAUGCACAUAACUCACUCAGCUCAAGCACUAAAACUUUUAUAGAAACAAACCAAAUGUCUACUCAAUUUAGUCUUAAGACUCAAAUGUGUUACUCUUUUAUCGUCCAUGGUCUGUUUGUCUAUAUUUUCAACUUUUUCUUGUUGAAGUUUCUCUUAUCCACAUCUUUUGUGUCCACAAGUUUAACUUACAAACUAUGUUAAAUGUAUAAAAUAGAUGUUAAAAUAAAAUAAAAAAUUAUAAUUGGUUGUACCAAAAAAAAAGCUAAAUGUUUAUUAUAAAACAAAAAAUCAAUAAACAAAUACGUGGCUGAAAAUGUUAUUUAGUAAUAUUAAAAAAAUAUAUAUAACCCAUCUUUAUCUCAUUGUGCUCAUCCACCUGACCAAAACUAUUUAAUUACUUUAACCUAACCAGAUAUAAAUAAGUAAGUAAUUGAACAUGAGAGUAUAAAGGUUUGCAAAAGGACAGCUGUCCAAAAAAGUGUAUUAUAUGCUGAAUGUGUCUCUGCACGUUAAGAAAGACGAAAAAGUGUCCAAAUGUGUAAACAAAGACGAAAAAGUGUCCAAAUGUGUAAACGACUCUUUUUUUUGAACACAAACUUACUUUCAUUCAUAAUCAAACUUUUUCACUACAAUAACAAGAGGGAAUUAUACAUCCUCUUUGGCCAUAAACAUAACAUACACCACAUAAAUAGUCUAAGAAAGAUAAGUCUUCAACCGAAGAUGACAGCGAAUUCGAGACGAAGCUUGAAUGCGUCGAGUGAGCCUUCACGACAAAGUCGGACAGCUGGAAAAUAGUCACAGAAUGUGACGUUGAGGUCCAGACCUCAUCUACGAGAACUACCGAAGUAGUCUCGGUUGCAUCUUCAGAUCCCGUGGAGAUCGCUACGCAAGAUGACAAACCGAUGAGGGAACUGAAGCAAACACUCGGCAACGACAAUGAAACCGAGGAGGAGGAACGAAGGAUAACCAAUCCCGGUGAACCCACCGGUAAAACUUUCCCAAAGGAUAAAUAUGAUCGUGUAAUACGAGAAGGAUAGAUCCUGUUGAAAUUACAGGAACUCAAACUGACCCCACCACUAGCUAAACUUAAUCGUUGGAUAACUCUUUCUUCUACAUAUAUGGGUCUUUUCCAAUAUCUUGGGCUGACAGGUUCAAAAACACACAUGGGCCAGACCCAAACAUAAUCAAUUGUUACCUCAGGAGACGCUGUCAUUCUGGCACGGGAUACGAAGGAUACGAAGUCGCCGGCAAAGCUCCGACGGAGAGGAAAUGAAGCACGGUCGAUGAUUAACGGAGGUGAGGAGAGCAUCACUUUUCGGUAUGAAGGAAGUGAAAUGAUACCGAAGUAACUCGGAACUGAACUGGUGAUGCUUCGAGAUCUGCCGUCAGUCUGAUGAAGAGGAGCACCGCGCAGUGGUUUGUGGGACUCAAGCCUCCCCGGAGACGAGGAGGUUGUUCUCGUCAGUUGAAAUCGCGGCUCCGUAUAGCAUUUAAAGGCUUGGACUUGACAGCAAACAGAGAGAGGUACGACGGGGUUUGAACCCGAAGACCAGAGCUCAGCGGCGGUGAGAGAACCCUCUCGACUCAUCGCUAAGAGAAGGACCUGUCGGAAGGAAAGGACCACCGAAAGAAGCGUAACGAAGAGUCCUCUUCUCCGUCGUACCAUUUGUCGGGAUCGCCUUCCUCCAAACAUCCAAGUGACACGAGUGAAUAACCAAAAAACAGAGCAGGAAAUCAGGAACACGAUGGUGAAGGAGAAGAGCAGCGUCGUCGAUAAGGCCCAGCGCCGGCGAGAAACGCUGUUGCCGGCGCCGAGGGGCAUAGAUCUCGUUUGUGCCUCGAGCUCCGUGUCUGAGAGAGUCUAGGGUUUUUUCACAUGUAUUCAGACCAAACCUCUGUGUAAACGACUCUUUAAAUGAUGCAUUAUAUGAGAUAUAGUUUUUGAUUGAAUUAGACGAGGCAAAUAAUAUAUUUGAGUGCAAUCUGGCAUUCAAUUUACAACAAUCUUUGUACUUGAAACAAACAAACAAACAAAAUAGUAGUAAAAACAUAAUGAUUUAGGCACCAUAUUUCUUGUUAUAAUUUAUUAAUAUGAAUAAUCGUUAUUACAUUAAAAUAGAAUGACAAAUGAUCACUUAAAAUAUAACUAAACCUUGAUGAUACCUAAUAACUUACAUGCAGUUUUAAGCAUAAUACGAUAGACAAAACGCCUAGGAAACAUAAUGCCAAAACAAUCUUUAGGAAUACCGAGUAAAACUGUGCAACAUUCUUUUGUAACAUUUUUGAAAUGGAAAUUCUUCACUGAUUCUACACAGUGUGGAACUUUUUUUGCAUGUGCCACACAAGUUAAUGGCUUUGGGAACAAUCUUUUCUCUCCUGUUGGAGUAAAUGCAGAAUCACUAACACUAUUUAUAUUUUGAGAAAUUGAUAGAAUCAUUACCAUUAUCAAUAAAAUGGAUAGGAACACUGUUUUUUUACUUCCACUCAUUAUUUAACGUUUAUACAAUUUAUGUUUAUCUGUGCUUACAAUGACAUUAGUCAUAGUAUUUAUAAUUUUUACAUUCAUGAAUUUUUAGGGGAGUUAUUAUUUUGGAUAUUGUACAUGCAUAUAUGUUAGAUGUAUUUAAAUAUCUUACUUUACAGAGCUAAAAUAUUCAAGGCAUCACAUCAACUAGGUGAUAUCAUCAAGCAUUCUAAAGCAAAUAAAUCAAUUAAGAUUUUUUUAAGGAUUGCAAUUUGAGUGCAUUACCAUUUAGGACACUUUUUUCACUUUUUUGACAUGUUUAGACACAUGUUGUAGGAGGGACACUUUCCAUUAUGUUUUGGUAAAAUCUGGACGAAACUGCCCUUCGCUGGGAGAUCUGAUUCAAAAAAGUAAUUGUGUCUUUUUUCUAUUUAGUUAGUGGGGACCAAAUUUAAUUAACUUUUUCUGGCGGAGUUAUGAAAGUAGGUUAAUAAAUAAAAUGAACAAUUUACAGCCAUUGGAUGUGAAAUAGAUUAAAAAAUCCAACGGUGGAGGACUAUUGCUAUUUCAAGACUUUAGUUAGUACGUUUAUAAAAGAAGAGAUUCUUAUCUACCGUUGGAUAUGGAAGCAAAAGAAGAUCGUAGGGCUAAGGCAAUUUGUACUUUUUUUACCCUAUCAUGUUUAAUUCAUUAUUAUUUCAAUUUCUAAUAUAUAAAUAAAUAUAUAAUAUCCAUAUAAAAAUUUAUUUACUUUUUUCUUAUUAUUUUGAUACCCAUAUCCAUAUAUUUUAUACUUUAAUGUUUAACUAAAAUUUUCAAAUUAUAAUUUAUUGUCCAUGUGUUUCGUGUACGUGGACAAAAUAAGUGUGGAUAAAAAAAUUGUGGAUGCGAGAAUUAAUAUUGUGGACAAAGAGAUGUUCAUGUGAGUAACUGAAAUGCGGAUGGUUCUUUGUAGAUACAUAUCUUAGGGUGCAAUAUAUAUAUAUAUAUAUAUAUAUAUAUAUAUAAGUUCAUUUGAGUUGAAUAGGGUCUAAAGUGCACUAAUAAAAGUUUGUGGCUAAUCAAAAGAACCUUUCUGCAUAUUUUAAGAAUCUUGGGGUGAAAGCUUGAAUAACCAAAAAUUCAGACACCACAGUUGCAAAAACUCAUUUUGCUUUCUCUCAAACAAAUGAACCCACAUCAAAGUUUAUUGAUCUUCAUGAAUUAAGAAUCAAAGCAAUUUUUUUUGUUCAUGAUGACAACGUCUGGUGCAAUUUCAAGAGCUGUUGUUGACGCAUGCCUAAUACAAUAAUACCCACAAGCCAUUUGCAUCAAUUACUUGAAUCAUCAAAGAUUUUUCCAGAUUGAAGGCCUGGUCCCAGCAAGAUCCCAUCAAAUCGCUGCAGAGACAAACAACUUCGUUUAACGACUUCAAUCUGCGGUCAAAUCAGCUCUAAGCCUUUGUCUCCUCUACCGUGAAUUUCUUGUUUUUUCCACCGCUGAUUUCAUGUCUCCUCCGCCAUGUUUCCUCCGCCGCAGGUUUCAUCGGUGAUGAAAAAUUCUCUAAUCGGAUUUGGCUCUUGUCCACGUCCAUCUCCCAAAGCUUCUCCAUCAAAAAAUCACACACCGUAAGUUCUGGUAUAACCUAAGAGGCGAGGAGUCAUGUGUCUUCUACAUCAAAAUCUCACACACUGUAACCUCCGAUAUCGUUUACCAGUGGGGAUAAAGGUGAUGAGAGAGGAAUUAGGGCUAGGAGAGAAAUCAAAUUCGCGGCGAGACCUCUAGAAUCAUGGAGAUUAUGAAAUUGAAGAUGAAGGAGAAGAGGUUAGGAAAUUAAGAAAGUGAAUCUGAAUUUAUAAAGAAAUAAAGAUGGAGAGAGAAUAAAUGUUCUGUUUUAGAAUAAAUGUUCCGUUUCGAAAACUCAAAAAAUGUUUGGUUUAUCAAUUUAUUUUUAAAACAAAAAACAUAAAAUUCUUAUAGUUGGGAAAGUGAGAUGAGUUAGAGUUAGAAGAUAGUGUAGUUAGUUAGAGGAUAUGUAGGACAUUGCACAAGGAAGAAGUGUGCCUCCAGCAACAAGUAUCUUAAUAUGUAACUAGAUUUUGAAGCGCGAAGCGCGAGUUUAUUUUUGUUUUUUUUUUCAAUUGAUAAAUAUUUAGUAAAUGUCACAUUUUCAUAUAUUUGUGUUUUAUUUUAUAAAAGACUUAAAAAAUUUAUCUUUAUUUAUCGUAUUUCAUUUUAAAUAAUUAUUUAUGUUUAAAAAAUUAAAAUUUAUUUUUUUAAUGAAUUAAGUUGGUAUAAAUCUGAUAAAUUAAUUUUAUCAUGGGGUUAAUAUUUUAAUUAAAAAUUAUAUACUUUUAAUAAAGAUUUAUAUUUUUCAAUAAAAAAAUUCAAUUAUUUUUAUGAAUGCUUAAAUUAUAUUAAGAAAAGAAAAAAAUAAUAAUUAAGAAUAGUUGAAAAAAAAUUAUUUGAACUUGGAUUCAAUGGCCCAAAAGAAAAAUAAAAGUGAGAAUUGAAUCUGAUUUUUUAAUAGGUCCAAAUGGCCCAAAAGAGAUUUGAUGUGGGCUGGAUCCAAAAAUAAUGACCCAAUAUAGAUUUGUUAUUAAUAUUACUUAAUUACUCUUAAUGAAACAUGCAAUGUUAGUGAAGAAAAGGGCAGACUAAGGUAAUUAUGACAAUAGGAUCAUGCUUUAAUAGUAUUGAUAUGAAAGACAAAAAGUGUCCUAAAAAGUUCUUGCAAUUUAGCAUUUUUUUCUUCUUAAUUUCACAUUUUAAAUUUAUCAAGCAAGUAAAUUAUACCCUUCAUUUUAUAAAAUACACUAUAUAUAUUUUUAGCAGUCAGAAAAAAUUGGAUGGCUGGUAGAUUCUACAGCAUACGACAAAAUUGGUUUCUAAGAAAAUAUGUUUUUAUCUUUUUAAUAUUCAAAAUAUAAAAUAUUACUUUUAUUUAUUUGAUAGAAUUGUCAAUACAUACUAACCGCUACUAUACUAUUGUAAAUAUGUAUUAUACAUUUACCUAGUUUUUAUGUGAAUGACAUACAAUAUUAAUCUAUAUGCAUAGUAAAUAACUUUUUUUUUACUUAGCAAUUCUUAGAAUGAGUGCGUGAUUUAUAUAUAUUUAUUAUGUGCAGAUACGUAUUUGAAUAUUUUUAAAUGUAUAUAUCUGAUAGUAUUUAGAUAUAAGAUUUAAUCAGAAUAAUUAUUUUUAAUUAAACUAAAUUAUUAUUUUGAAAUACUUUUUUUAGAAUAUUAAAUCUUCAAAAAAAUAAAAUAAACAUGUGCUUAUUAUAUAUAUGACAUGUUAGUCUAAAAAUGUCACUAUUACUAAAAAUUCUUUUAUUUCAGAAUAAAAUAUAAAUCACCUUUAAUAUUAUCUUUAGUAUCCUUAUAACGAUAUUACAAAUAAUAGUCAAAGAAACUAAACAUAAUAUUAGUCAUUAAAACCAUAAACUAAAUAUUAUGAAUUAAUUAUCGUAGAAUAGAUUAAAUUUUUAUUAAUUAUUUUAAAUAUCAUGAUAAAUAUAUAUUAAAUAUAUUUUUAAGUAAUAAUAUAUAUACCGAUAGAAAUAGGUUAAUGUUUAUUAAAUAUCUUAAAUAUAAUGAUAGAUAUAUACAUAUUAAAAUAAUAAUAAUAAUAAUUAAUUAUAAAAACGACUUAUCCAAAAAUCAUGGAGAAGAUGACAAGUAAGCAAAUUCACUUUUUAAAUAAUAGUAUAGAUACCAAAAUAUGCCAAAUCAGCAUCAUUUAGCUAAAUAUUUUUUAAAAUAUAAAAUCUUCAAAAACAAAUCUAUCAAAAUAAACUUAAAACUAGAUUUUGACCCGCGCUUAAGAAGCGCGGGUAUUUUUUCGGUGACCGUAAACUCAAAUAUUAAAUGAAUUUAUAUUUAUUAUUAGAUAUCUAAAAUAUUUAAAAGUUGUUCUAUUAUUAUUAUUUCAGUUCGGGACAAUGUUUUCAUUGAGUUUUCAUAUCCGAAUCAGACUUGUGGUCGAACCGUAAGAUCUAGUAACUCAUAUAUAGUGGGAUAGAAUAUAAUAAAAUGAAUAUAGCAAAAAUAUCUGAAAAUCAAAAAGACCGUUAUUAACCCACUGAAAAAAAUAUAAUUUGUUUUAAAUAAUGUUACAUUUAUAUGUAUUUAUGUAUAAAAUGGUCUUCAUAAUUUGGGAUUUUAUAAAAAAUGGGUCUGAAGUUAAUUUGGUUAUUUUUUUUUUUUGUAACAAAAGUUAAUUGAAUUUAUAAUUUUCUUUUUUUAAUGGGUUGUAUCACUUAAAUUAUUUUUUUUAAGUUAAACGCCCAAAGCCCAAUUAAUAAUAUUUAUUUUGCUGAUAAUAAAGUGAGAUUAAAUAGGGAUAACAUAUACUAAUAUAUAAGGAAGACCAAAAAAUAAAAAAAGGAAAGGGUCUAACAACCUUUUAUAAGUAGAUUUUUUUGGACUCCUUCCCUUUUAAUAGUAUUGAUAUUAUGGGAAAAUUGUUUUUUUAGAAAAAAAUGAUAACUAUGUCCUUUUAAAUUAAUAUGCCCUUUUUGCCAAGAGACCCGAACCACUCUUGGGUUUGAUUUAUAUUCGAAUGUAAUGGUGGGAAUGGGCUUUUAACUUCACUUGUAUCAUACCCAUUUGGGUUUUCGAUAAAACUGAAGUCGACAAAAAAAACUUAGAAUAUCAAUUCAGAUAAACAAACAAAAAGAAAGAAAGUGGGUUCAAAUACAUUGGUUACCAUAUAUAUCCACUUUUUUUUUGACCAAAAAGAAAGUGGAUAUAUAUGGUAACCAAUGUAUUUGAACCCGACUUGGACAACUUCCCGCAUUACAGGUUUAUUGGAUCAGCCGCAGGUUAACCAUAUAUUAAAAAAUAAAAUAAUUUUGUUAUUAAAUAAUAUACUAACUAUUAAAAAUAGGGUUUUUUGCAAAAAUGACUCAAAACUCAAAGUCAACAACUCAAAAUCAACCACAAAACUAACUCAUGAUUCUUUUUGGAAAAUUCAUUUACCCUAUUCACCACAAAAGUUUUGAUUAUUCACGAAUAUGCCAUUAACUUUUUAAUAUUUUUUUAUAAAAAAUCGUUGUUUUACUCAAUCAUCCUCAUCUUCCUUUUUUAUUUACAACAUUGGCAUUAUCAUCAAUACAUCGACCACCAUGAACAAACAAUUUGAAGCUCUAAAUACAUCUAAAAUCAACAUCUACAUCUUCAUAUUCCUUUUUCUUACAGAGACAAACCAUUUCUCUCUCACUUCCUCUUUUAUUUCACCCCAAAAUCCCAACUUUUAUUUCAAAAUUUAUAAACUUACGAGAGUUACUCAAGUUCAUGAUUCUUGGUCAAAAACGAGUGAGUAACUUUCAUUAAGAAGUGAUGUGUGCUUGGAGAAACUAACCAUGAACCUUAUUGGAUCUAGCAAUGAUUUUUGAUUUUUUUUUUCCAGAUAUGUUCGCUAAAAGACUUACGUGUAAGACUUAUACGGAAAUCUUUUAGUCAAUGCAGAUGUUAGUUUUGCAAUUGACUUUAUGUCUGUUUUUUAGAGAUGACUUCUCUGGAAGUCUUCCAAUUUUUCUUUGUUAACAAAAAAUCUCAAAAAUACCAAAGAAAACUUACCAAAACUUACAUAAACAUGUUAGUUUUGCAAUUGACCGAAUUGUGUUAUAAAUUUUAUUUUUUCUACAAGACUUACAUGGAAGUCUUCCAACAUAAGACUUCCGAGGAAGUCUUCUCAACUGUCAGUGGAAGUCCUCUCAAUGUCUGUGAAAGUCGUCUCAGGUUACUUUUGCUAUUGAAAACUAAAACUUAAAUGAAAGGUUUAUUAUGGGAUUUUGGUCAAACUUUUGGUUAUCAAAAAAGAUUUCGUUGUAAGUCUUCUGCCAUAAGACUUAUACGUAAGUCGUCUAGUUAAAAUUAAAUAUUUAAGUUUUAUUUUUUAAUUGAAAAACUAAUCUGAGAGAACUUACAUGGAAGUCUUCUAGUUAGAAUUAAAUAUUUAAGUUUUAUUUUUCUGGUGGAAGAUUUUCAUGUAAGUCUUAUAGAAAAAGUCAAAUUUCUGACACAAUUCGGUCAAUUGCAAAACUUACAUGUUUAUCGUAGAAGUCUCCUGGACGACUUCCGUGGAAUUCUUCGACGUCAAUGUUUAAUAAAUUUUCAUUCUCUAAUACUAUAAAUACUUUUUAACAUUUUCUUGGUAAUUCAUGUAAAUUAGUCGAUAUUGGGGAUCCUGAAUGGAAUUCAUAACUUAAUUGGUUUUAAUUAUGAGGUUAUCAACAUUAAUGUUUAUUAAUGUUUCUACCUAAUUUGAGAAGACUCUUCUUCGUUAGCUUUUGUAAACUUGUUAAGUAACUUUAAGAUAUGGUUUUUAACUUUCAAAAGUGUUAAGUAACUUCAAGAAUAUCAAGUCAUAUGGUUUAAUAUGUCUUAUUAGAUCAUAAAAUAUACUUUUUUAACUUUCAUUCAAUUUUCAUUUAAAUUUUGAUUUUCCCGCUUAAAUUUCCCGUUUAUAUUUUAAAUUCCAGCUUAAAAUUUAUGUCUUUCGAGAAGUCUUCCGAAGACUUCCUACAAAACUUCUAGUGAAAGUGUAAUAUGUUCUUCUCUUAUGUAAUUUUUGAUCUUUUGUGAAUUUAACUAUGUUUUUUGAGAAGUUUUCUCCCUUAGGUUUAGUAAAUUUAUACUAAUUAUUGUGUUAUUUUGUUUUUAUAUUGAAGUUGUAUAUAACUUCAAUAAUGUCAAGUAUUUUGGAAAGAUAAUAUUGUACACAUGAACAUAUUUACCAACUUUUCAUUAACAUCUCUUCAAAUUUACAAAAGAAUCCACAACUAAAACAAUACACUUACAAAUCAUAAAACAAAUCAUAAAUAAAACUAUUACACUUGGAGUUAGAAAUCAUUCCUCCACAUAGAUAAGUGUGGACUCCCCUUGACAUACACAUGAUCAACUUUGAUAGUUCUCAUGUUCAGGUUUCAGGUUUCCGAAGACUUUGUGGAAGACUUCGUGGAAGACUUCGCAUGCAUGAAGUCUUCCUGUAAGUCUUCCAUAGAAUCUACCUCAAACUUGAAACUUCCAUUAGCUUCGAAACAUUCAGAUUUGUUUACCAGAUGAUCAAACAGCCUCUCCACUUUGAUAUCUCCACUUUGAUAUGUCCUUUACAGCCACAUCUGUAACACACUGUCUCACGCUUCUGGGUGGUAUCCUCUUGAGUUUCUUUACCCUUAGAAACUUGUUUGGAUCUAACCCACUUGUUAGAUCCCUUGAAUCUGGGAUUGUAAGUUUUCCAAAGUUUGUUGUUGAAACGGCGACCACGAUCUCGGUUGGUCUGGUUUCUCCUUUCCGAUUUUUCUACCGCCGUAGCAUUUACUUCCGGAAAUGGUUUGGCUCCCGUAGGUCGGGAAUUGUGGUUUUUGAUCAUGAGCUCAUUGUUCUUUUCAGGCAACAUGAGCG
rnacentral:lncRNA from 1 species